UAUUUACAAGUUUGCCACUCAAAUGAAUAAAGGUAUAAAUAUGACUUUAUAGCCUAAAAUUCAUUAAGGGUUUGUUUUGGAGAAAAUUGGUGAGAACAUGUCUCUCCAUUUCUCUCUAAAGAGGCCGGCCACCUUGGAGGGUGCAUCUAGCAAUCCCACUACUCCAAGGUCACUCAUUUCUUCUCCAAUCUCUCCUUGGUGA
rnacentral:lncRNA from 1 species